rnacentral:lncRNA from 1 species
GCCCGGCCCCGCCGCGCUCCGGCCGCCGCCGCCGCAGCAGCUCCGCGGCGCCCGGUGCCGUCCCCUCGCCGCGCAGCCCGGGCACGGCUCCGCCACAGCCAGCACAGCCCGGCUGCUUUUAGAAGCAGCGCUGCUGAGGCCUAGGUGGGGGGGAAAUGAAAGGAAAAGGAGGUUGCAGCAGCGGGAGCCGCCGCACCCCGGCGGGAGGAGCGGGAUCGGGGCAGCUUGGCAGGCGGGAGGGCGGCCUCUGCCACGGCGCUGCCCGGAGCUUCUCCCCGGCGGUCUCCACCUGCCCGCGGGGGAGCGGAGCCGGCUCCGGUCCCGGUCCUGGCCCCUUCGCCCUCGCUCGGCACCCCGCAGGCAGCGGCUCCGCGCUCGGGGUCGCCCGGGCAGCGGCGCGGGCGCCUCUCUCAUCCUGAGGACAAGGUCAAGGAUGAAGGGUCAAUGUCAAGUUGUCUUAACGGUGGAAGGCGACCAUCCACGGCAGCACUCUUUGCUUCCCGAGUUUCUGGUGUCCUUGAUUGAUUCGAAAGUGCCAUUUUGAAGGGGAACCGCGCCCGGGCACCAAGAGGACGCGAGGACUUUGCUUUUCCUUCCCAGAGCGAAAAAGUGAGGACGGUACAGGACGGGGAUGUCACCGCCGCUCUGCCUAACAGUAUUUAGGGUCUUAAAGUGCUUUAAUGGCUGGAUUGCUUUAGGUUUCAGGGACCCUCGGAGGACUGCGUUCUGCCAAGCGAACCCUCCGAGAGGUAAGCAGCAAAUGUCAUGGCUCCCUGAUAAGCACACGUAACCCAUCGCUCGCAGGGGCAAUCUGCACGUCUGUUUUCUGCGUGGACGCCACGGGAAAGUGAUUUUGAAUGUAAACAGGCGUGAGGCAGCUCGGGGAGGUGCGUUAGGGAGGGAACCUGUGGUGGGUGCAGCUCCUCCAGCGCUGCCCUGCGGGGGGAACCUGCCGCGGGCAGCCGGGCAGGGACCGGAGGCGGCCGCGGCACCGCCGUCAGACAGAGCCGCGUCUGCAGCGGUGGAGCUGCAGCUGAACGAAGCCAGACUGCUCCUGUCCGGCUUUCCUCUCAGCUUCGGUUGCUUUUUGCUUUGCAAUUGUAUUUUCCUGUACUGAUUCCCCCAUCCAUGCUUGCGAAUAUUACAAAGGUGACAAGUGUGAGCUGCCUACACACCAAGCAGGGGAAACAGCUUUGUUCAGUUUAUCAACUGACCCUCCACUCCCAUUCCCACUAAAGGAGAGGGAAAACACGUCUAUUUUUAAGGGCCUCAUUGUGGUAAUUCUCGUCCAGAAGCAAUAGUGCUUUAUUUCCCCUCAUUUUUUCUCUCAUUUUAUUUUUCCCCAUUUUUUAAAAGCGAAAAUGUCAAUUAUAACUUCCCUCAAAGUUAUGUGUGCAUAUGUAUGCAAGUAGCAUCUGUUUAUUCAAAUACAGUUGCUUUUCUGCAUAAAGAGGGAAUUAUAUGUAAAACGUGGAAUAUUCAGACAGAUGGCUUAUAAAUUACUUAUUUUGUGACUAAUUACUGCCUAAAAUCCACAGGCUUUGGUGGUGUUACCUGUUGCUAACUUAGUUCAAAAUUAGACCUGCAAAUACUACAGCUGUGUCACCCUAUUUUUUGUUGGUUUAUGGUUCAGAAUAAAACUUCGAUCUUCUGUUAAUCACGCCACAUAGCAAAAUAAGUAAGUGAGGUGUAGCUGGAGUGCUGCAGGCCUCCUGCAAGUAAUGCUGCCUGGCCAGAAAAUGCCAUCAAACUUCCUCUACUGUACAGGUCUGUCAAAAGUCUUUGCAGAAAGCAGUUCAUUAAUCCUGAUCAUCUCAUCUCAUGAGUGAUAAAGAUACUCCACCUAAAACAGAGAGAUUUGUCCCAAUUGGCUCCAGAAUCAGCAGAAAAAAACCCCGAAAAACCAACAACAAACCACUUCUGGAGGGAGAUAUUAUCACCGAGCAUUAUGAGGAGUAAAAUAAUCGGUUCCCUAAUUUAUCUGUCACUCGUUGGAGGAUAAAACCCACCUCGAAUGGCUCAGAGAGGCUGUGAGAAGGCAAACAGAAACUUUAGCUGUGACUUGAAUGUGAACUUCCUGAGAUGUGGGGCACGUGCAGCUUUUCACCUUUUCUUCAUGUUUUGGAUCAAAUCCUUCCUGUUUUGAUCUAAUAUAGAUAUCACUAUUUAAAAUAUGACUGUAAUAGUACGAACGCCGUGUAACUAAUCUUGACAACAUACCUAUAGCUUCAAUUUGUGCCAGGAAUUAAUUGGCUUUAAUCCAAUUGCUAAGACUUGCUUUUCAGCCUUUAUUAUAGUUCCUCUCUAGCAAUGUGUGGGUGGAUUUGUUUGUAAUUUAGCAUAGGCUGUCCCUGGCAUUGCACCAUACCUCGUACUUAGUACAGAACUGUCUAACAGUAACAUUAAACUGGGAAAAAAAAAAAAGGUGCAGGUGUGAGGGCAAUUAAUAUAUCAUCCCUCCGGUCGGUGGUGGGGAGCUCGCAUUGUUAAGCUCACGUCAGCGGGCAAUAAAAACUAUUCUGGCAAGCUCUGCCAACACAAACUAGAGCAGGAAGACAGCAAAAUGUAAAACCCAGCUUUUCUGACACUGUGGCUUCGCCUCGUAAGUGGCGUUUCCGUGCGGCCUCAGCCCGCCCGGAGCGCCGCCGCCGCCAGACACCCAGCCCAGGCGCCGGGCUCCCGGCAGCGUCCGCAACAGGCUCCGAACCAUUCCCAGGGUUUCUCCUGGCAUCACGGACUCUCCUGAAGGCUCAGCUGAGCUUUCCCCUCCGCACGCAGCGUUCGUCCGCGGCGGCGCCGGGCUCGCCCCGCACUCGCCCCGGGGCCAGCGGCGGCAGGGAGCGCGCAGAGUCCGCGGCACCCCCGUGACCCUCGCGGAUGGACGGGAGAAACAAUAAAGAACGCUGCUGCCUAAACCCGGCAACAUACCGUGCUUCAAAGGUACCAGAAUGUAGCGUUAUUAGCUGACAGGAAAGCUGCUUGGUGCAUCUGUGACCUCAGCUACGACACUCACUGGACACUUAAAGAAGCAAAGCAAAACAUGCUGGACUAAUUAGCAAGUUGUCCAAAUGUGUUUUAUGUCGGUGCUAAGGGGGUACAUGAACAUCAGGUUGUAGGAGGCAGACUUAGGAAGCAUCAGUUACAGUCAGAUUUGCAUUACUUAAAGCAGAUUUAUUUGCGGUAUAGAAUAGAAUUGCAUCUUACAGUGCUGGAGUGCUAAGCCUGAGCGAGGGCCGCUGUGCAGAUCACGAUGUGUUGGCUCAGAAAAA